rnacentral:rRNA from 1 species
GACGAACGCUGGCGGCGUGCCUAAUACAUGCAAGUAGAACGCUGAGGAGGAGCUUGCUUCUCUGGAUGAGUUGCGAACGGGUGAGUAACGCGUAGGUAACCUGCCUGGUAGCGGGGGAUAACUAUUUGAAACGAUAGCUAAUACCGCAUAAGAGUAGAUGUUGCAUUACAUUUGCUUAAAAGGUGCAAUUGCAUCACUACCAGAUGGACCUGCGUUGUAUUAGCUAGUUGGUGGGGUAACGGCUCACCAAGGCGACGAUACAGAGCCGACCUGAGAGGGUGAUCGGCCACACUGGGACUGAGACACGGCCCAGACUCCUACGGGAGGCAGCAGUAGGGAAUCUUCGGCAAUGGACGGAAGUCUGACCGAGCAACGCCGCGUGAGUGAAGAAGGUUGUCGGAUCGUAAAGCUCUGUUGUAAGAGAAGAACGAGUGUGAGAGUGGAAAGUUCACACUGUGACGGUAUCUUACCAGAAAGGGACGGCUAACUACGUG